UCAGCGGUUAACAAAACGUUUAGUUUUCCUCCGUUGAUAGUCGUUUACCAAAACCCUUUCGUCUUUAUGGCUGCAUUCCAAACGCUGCUAUCUCUCCUCUCUCAUCCCUGGGGAAAAAAAAAUCUUCCCCCUUCAUGUAUUCCAUUCGUUGGGAGUUGCAAUGAUCUUUUUCUUUUUGAUCACUGACAACCCAUCAAAUUUGCUGAUCUUUUUCUUUUUGAUCACUGACAACCCAUCAAAUUCGCUGUCAAACUUGCAGAACAUGUGACUCAAUUGGAAUUCAAUUAGUUGACAUUCAAAGUUGGUAACUUAAGAAGAAAAAGGCUCCUAAUCUCUUCAUUUUUUCCCCCAAAAUCUAACAAACACUAUUGUAUUCUUUCUCCAAAAUAUCAGCAUCAAAUAUUUUCACUUUUUACUCUCUUCGUUUUUUUUAAAUAACCGGAAAAACGACUUUGGACUGUCUUUUCGGUACGUACCGUCACCAAAUUUUCAAGCUUUGCUUAUUCCGCUUCAAUUUCUUGCAGUUUUGAUCACAAAAUGGAAGAGAAGCAUUUAUAUCCUUCAGUAAUUGGAGCAAAAGAUCAACCAGUGUUUGAGUAAUUGAUAAUGUUUUACUUCUCCCCUUUUUCUUCUAAGUUAACUUUUUGCAUCAAGAUCUACUAUAUAGUUACUUUGCCUACUGAUGGAGUUUGCGUCAUUGAGACACUAACAUUAACUCAUGAAUUUGGUAAUUUUUCUAAAGCAAUAGUACCUAUUUUAGAUUAAUUGCUCAUUGUUUCUACUUUCCUGCUUACCACUUAAUUAAUAUACUUAUUAGUCAAUAUUCUUUUGUGCUUUCUUAAUCUUUUCAUUAGAAUUUGUUUCUCUUUUGUAAUUACCCACAUAGAAUAUUUGAUCUUGUUGUUACUUCGAUGUAUUUUCCCCUGUUUUGUGCUUUUUGUUGGUCAAUUGAAAUUAACUCUUUGUUGGUCUACCGUGAUUCACUACAAAUGGUGUAUGAAGAAAGAAAGUAAAGGAAAAUAAAGGUUUGGAAAAUUCUGAUGAAAAUGGUCCUCUAACAACAAUUCCAGUAAGAUGGUACGUUACGUUUGUAAAGUUUUGGGUCUUAAUAGUAGUCUGUGAAAAGAUGGAUAGGCAGUGUUGAGUCAUAUAAUAUAUUGUAAAUUGAAGGGAGUGGACUUUUCUACUCGAGGAAGAAAGGGGUAUUUGAAAUUUUGGAUGCAGAAGAAAGCAGACUAUAUGUGCAGCUUGAUUUGGAUACAUAGUUGACCAUGAAAAUGACCUGAGGUUUCUGCUUUAGUCAAGAAACCAGAAAAAUCAUGUUCUAUCUUGAGUCUGAUAUCAAGCAACAUGAUCAACAACAAUAUUCUGAAAAAUUCACCUUUUUUACAUGUAAUUCAUUGAGGCCUUUCACUUUGGACUUCAUUUUGUGCACUCUUUGUUUAUCAUACGCUCUGCUAUAGAUAGGAGGAUCUCAACUCAAUUGAAAUAACAUAUUAUCUCAAAUAUAUGAUUUGGCUGAGGAGGGCCUGCAAAUGAACUAUUAUGAUGUGAAGAGGAUGAUUGAAACAUUUAUUCUGCUUCCCAAUUAUCCGAGUCUCCAAGGGCUGUGAAUGUUUCUUCAUUCGUGGGAAGGCUAAAGGUUGUAUCUAAUGAGCUAUACAAUAUAUUGGACUAUAGGAAGCCUUUCUUUUGCACCAAACAAAGGGAAGAACCAUUGAUGUCGAUUUGCAAAGGAACCAACAGAUCUACCGGGUCGUACAACAUGUUAAGAGGGAAGACAGAAAUGGCAAGACUAAUCAAAUUGCUCUUUGCAGAAUUCAUUCAUGCAAUGUGGAGGGAGAAAAACUAUAGAAUAUUCGAAAAUGCAGCAAAAGCCGGUGAAAGUUUUGCAAGAGAGAGUGUAUAUUCAAUUUCAAAGCUGUGGCGGUCUGAAAUGGCUACUGCAGAGGCUUUACUUUCUAAUUUAUUUAGCUCUUUUCGUGUGCUGUAAAGUUAAAUUCAGGAGAUAGCAGAUUUUUAAUAGGACUUGGAGUUGGAGUUAUCCGGGAGAUUAGCUAUCUGUGAACUUCCUAUGUUUUGUAUUUCUUCACUUGGUGACUAAUAAAAAUGUUAAAUUACCGACAUAAAAAGAAAACUCAAAAAGUAAUUUCGGA